GCAGAAGAAAACCAUCAGUAAUUGAGACUUGAUGCAUUAAUCAUGCCAUGUAUAAAAAAACAAAUAAUUGAAAUUUAGAAGCAUCAAUCGUAUACUCAGAUGCAGGUUUAGACUUUAGAGAGUCAAUAAUCUAUAGUUUUGGAUAAAGCCAGCUUUAGAUGUUUUCACUUUAUAUACGUUUCUUGUUUCUUUUUUUUUUUUUGACACAAGAUUAUUUAUAGAUUCUUAGCCUUUAACCAAAUCAUUUUUCAUUUUUAUUCGUAAUUUUUAUGAUGAAAACUUAAACAUAUGAAUAUUAAAAGUAGAUCAUGUGUACACAAAACUGGGAAAAGACAUUUAUAUAUUCCAUUAUCAUAGAUUUAUAAUCAUUACAACACUUUAUGUUCUGUUCAAAGUGCAAGUACCCGCACCAAUUAAAGUAAGUUUAUAUUGUGACAUGUACUAUAGAUAGUCCAUGCGUUUCCAGCUAAUCAGACAUGUAUCUUAUUCUAUCAAAUGUGUUGAAUUCAAAAGUGAUAGAGCAAUUGGGAGUUUUGGACUUUGGCCGAAGUAACGAAUAGGUUGACAAAAACAAAGAUAAAGGCUAAAAGCCCC
rnacentral:lncRNA from 1 species